GACGUAGGGUGCGAGCGUUGUCCGGAUUUAUUGGGCGUAAAGAGCUCGUAGGCGGCUCGUCGCGUCGACCGUGAAAACCCGCGGCUUAACUGCGGGCUUGCGGUUGAUACGGGCGGGCUAGAGUUCGGUAGGGGAGACUGGAAUUCCUGGUGUAGCGGUGAAAUGCGCAGAUAUCAGGAGGGACACCGGUGGCGAAGGCGGGUCUCUGGGCCGAUACUGACGCUGAGGAGCGAAAGCGUGGGGAGCGAACAGG
rnacentral:rRNA from 1 species